GACAGAGGUGCCAAGCGUUAGGCGGAAUCACUGGGCUUAAAGCGUGUGUAGGCGGAAUGGUAAGUACCGUUGUGAAAUCCCCACGGCUCACCGUGGAACUGCUUGGUAUACUGCUUUUCUUGAGCCACUUAGGGGCUGUCGGGAACAAACGGGUGGGAGCGGAUGAAAUGCGUAGAUAUCGUUUGGAACGCCAAGUGGUGAAAACAGGUCGCUGGGGAGUGAGCUGACG
rnacentral:rRNA from 1 species